GGUAUGUCGGAAACACAUG
rnacentral:siRNA from 1 species